UUCGAAGAAAAUUUUUUGAAGAAAAAAAUUGGAGAAUUCAAAAGUGAGAAUGUUGACAUGAGUAACAAAAAAUAAUGUAAAAAUCAUUAUCGCCGAAAAUCUAAGGAAUCCGACAAAAACAAAUUAUUUUUGUCGUUGCUUCUUUAUAUAAAUAUAUAAAGAUUUAUAUGAGUCUAAAAGUCGGUCCCUAAGAGACAAAAGAGUGAAAACCUUUCUUGAUGGGAAAAUACUUUGUUAAAA
rnacentral:rRNA from 1 species